GACGAACGCUGGCGGCGUGCCUAAUACAUGCCAGUCGAACGAGAGCGCCCGGUGCUUGCACUGGUCAAUCUAGUGGCGAACGGGUGAGUAACACGUGGGUAACCUGCCCAUCAGAGGGGGAUAACAUCCGGACACGGAUGCUAAAACCGCAUAGGUCUUCGAGCCGCAUGGCUUGAAGGGGAAAAGAGGCGCAAGCUUCUGCUGAUGGAUGGAACCGGGGUGCAUUAGCUAGUUGGGGAGGUAACGGCUCACCAAGGCCGUGAUGCAUAGCCGACCUGAGAGGGUGAUCGGCCACAUUGGGACUGAGACACGGCCCAAACUCCUACGGGAGGCAGCAGUAGGGAAUCUUCCGCAAUGGACGCAAGUCUGACGGAGCAACGCCGCGUGAGUGAAGAAGGUUUUCGGAUCGUAAAACUCUGUUGUUAGAGAAGAACAAGUGCUAGAGUAACUGUUAGCGCCUUGACGGUAUCUAACCAGAAAGCCACGGCUAACUACGUG
rnacentral:rRNA from 1 species